CCUGGAACACUUUUGACUGGCGAGCCAAUUUUACAGGAACUUCCCUGUAACACCCCCACAUCCCAUGUGUUGAACUCUUUGUUAGUCACACUCUCUGUGUGGAAACCCACUGUGGGGAUGGUGGUCACUGAUGGGCCCAGGUUCACCUUGUACAGGAUGGUUGUCUUGCAGGCUGCGUCCAGGCCCAACAUGAAGAUCCACAUGUCCUUGUUACUGAAGAAUUUGGAUAACACAUUCUCUAUUGCAUCAUUUUUUUUUUUUGAGAGAUUUGAUCUACCUGUGUUGUUCAGAUGGGCACCAAACUCUAGGUUCAAGAGAUGCUCCUGCCUUACUCUCGUGACUAACUGGAACUAUAGACAGACAUGGCAUCAAGGUGUCUUACCUGAAUGUGAAUCUCUGUCCCAUCCUCACCUGGGCAAGAGCCACAGCCAUCGGCAGGGAAACGUGGUCAUUUCUGCAUGCAACAGUGUGUUCAGCAUCCAACCUCCAAGAAAGCCUGGUUCCUCCUCACCUUUGAACUUGGAAUCUGAAGUUUCUUCUAGAGAUAUGGACUCUGGAAAGGGCAGCUUUAUUACUCGUCUCGGUAAGCAAGGAUUAGGGAGAUAAUCAAAGGUCACACUUAAAGCUGUGCUGAAUUACUUCUUCCAGAUUUCAAACACACAGGCAAACAAGUUUUUACCUGUGUGUCUGAGGAAUCAGGCUUCCUGCAAGAAAGAUUG
rnacentral:lncRNA from 1 species